UACAGAGGGUGCGAGCGUUAAUCGGAAUUACUGGGCGUAAAGCGCGCGUAGGCGGCUUUGCAAGUCGGGUGUGAAAUCCCCAGGCUUAACCUGGGAACUGCAUUCGAGACUGCAUUGCUAGAGUAUGGGAGAGGGAAGUGGAAUUUCCGGUGUAGCGGUGAAAUGCGUAGAGAUCGGGAGGAACACCUGUGGCGAAGGCGGCCCCCUGGGCCGGCCCUGACACUGAGACGCGAAGGUCAGGGGAGCAAACGGG
rnacentral:rRNA from 1 species